rnacentral:rRNA from 1 species
CCCAGACUCCUACGGGAGGCAGCAGUGGGGAAUAUUGCACAAUGGGGGAAACCCUGAUGCAGCGACGCCGCGUGAGCGAAGAAGUAUUUCGGUAUGUAAAGCUCUAUCAGCAGGGAAGAAAAAAAUGACGGUACCUGAGUAAGAAGCACCGGCUAAAUACGUGCCAGCAGCCGCGGUAAUACGUAUGGUGCAAGCGUUAUCCGGAUUUACUGGGUGUAAAGGGAGCGUAGGCGGCGCGUUAAGUCUGAUGUGAAAACCCGAGGCUCAACCACGGGAGUGCAUUGGAAACUGGCGGGCGGGAGUGCCGGAGAGGUAAGCGGAAUUCCUAGUGUAGCGGUGAAAUGCGUAGAUAUUAGGAGGAACACCAGUGGCGAAGGCGGCUUACUGGACGGCAACUGACGCUGAGGCUCGAAAGCGUGGGGAGCAAACAGGAUUAGAUACCCUGGUAACG